rnacentral:lncRNA from 1 species
CGACAAUGGUUUAAGUUUGAGGGAGUUUAUGACAAAAGGGAGCAUUGAGAAAAUAAUAACAUGAGUCAAAAAGAAAGAAAAAGAAGAAAGAAGAAGAAGAGAAAGAAAAAUGCAUUCAAUGAACAAGAGUUGGGAAAUAAGUUGAGAAGUGGUUUAUCAUAUUGUGAAGUGAAAAGAGAGACUAAUGCUACAUGAAGUAAAUUGUUUUCUCUCUUAGCUCAAGUUGCUUUGUUGUCUAGAAAAACCAAUUUUUCUUCUUAACCCAGUCACAAUACAAGC